GAUGAACGCUGGCGGCGUGCCUAAUACAUGCCAGUCGAGCGAACGGACGAGAAGCUUGCUUUUCUGAUGUUAGCGGCGGACGGGUGAGUAACACGUGGAUAACCUACCUAUAAGACUGGGAUAACUUCGGGAAACCGGAGCUAAUACCGGAUAAUAUUUUGAACCGCAUGGUUCAAAAGUGAAAGACGGUCUUGCUGUCACUUAUAGAUGGAUCCGCGCUGCAUUAGCUAGUUGGUAAGGUAACGGCUUACCAAGGCAACGAUGCAUAGCCGACCUGAGAGGGUGAUCGGCCACACUGGAACUUGGCCACGGUCCAGACUCCUACGGGAGGCAGCAGUAGGGAAUCUUCCGCAAUGGGCGAAAGCCUGACGGAGCAACGCCGCGUGAGUGAUGAAGGUCUUCGGAUCGUAAAACUCUGUUAUUAGGGAAGAACAUAUGUGUAAGUAACUGUGCACAUCUUGACGGUACCUAAUCAGAAAGCCACGGCUAACUACGUG
rnacentral:rRNA from 1 species